GAGUAUGAGAAGGCAUACCCGGGGAACUGAAACAUCUAAGUACCCGGAGGAAGAGAAAGCAAAUGCGAUUCCCUGAGUAGCGGCGAGCGAAACGGGAACAGCCCAAACCAAGAGGCUUGCCUCUUGGGGUUGUAGGACACUCUAUACGGAGUUACAAAGGAACGAUAUAAGCGAAGAGGUCUGGAAAGGCCCGCCAAAGAAGGUAACAGCCCUGUAACUGAAAUGUUGUUCUCUCCAGAGU
rnacentral:rRNA from 1 species